ACAAAUUGUGUCGAUCGUACCACCGGCCAAACCGGGUAUUUACAAGCCUAUUGUAGCGCCUCUUAUAUUUCCGGCUGACAAAAAUCUGUUUGAUUUAUCCAGUUGGACGACAGAAUAUGAUUGGGAUACCGUAUACAAAUCGUUUGAUGAUUACUUUGUUAAUAAUCUUGCACUCUUCGAUUCGCAUCAGAUUAUUACAGAUUAUCAAGGAUUUCUCAAUGAGUUUCAUAAACGAUCUUUAAGGCAUAUAGGCUCAAAAAACGACAUGAAUCAACAACAUUGCCAAAGUUGAAAGUAUCAGACUUCGAAACCAAAUGUCAAGUAAAAGAAGCUCACUAAUCUUUCUUCUCAAUAAUAAUAACAAUAUUAAUUGUCAUUAUUCCUAUAAAAGAAAUGGAAAGAAGUGAAAAAUUGGGAAAUUACAAAAUUCUUAUGUUUAACUAAAUUAGGGACAAUAAAUAAAUAAUAAUUAAACAAAAUCUUGUAAUUUUGUUUAAAAUAAAAUUAUUUUUGUUAUCUCUAUAUGUUUAUAAAGGGAUUACAUAAUCGUUUAUAUUAUUCAUAAAUUAAAUCUCUGUAUAUCAAAGAAAAUGUUUUUAAAUCUCGCAUUUAUCUAUAAUUCUGAUACAUUCUUACGGUAUUAUUAAUGUAUGUACUUUAUCUUUAUGGCAAAUUUUAUUAGGGCACUGCGCAUGCAUGCGCAUAAAGCAUUUCUCACGACCAAAUCACUAGAUUUUAUCUUACAAGAUUUAAUCUUAUCCAUUUAAUGAUUUGCAAAGUCAUGGAGCAAUAAUGUACAAUAUUAUUAAUUGUAUCUCGUCACGAUAUUAUUUCCAAUCCAAUGAGUGAUCUCAAAACUCAUCGCACAUCAAAAUUCAUCAUAAGUAAAAUAUUGUAUACGAUUCAUGAAGUUCUACGUUUAAUGUAGAUAAUCUACAUCAAUAUUCGUUUAUUAUGUUAGAAUUAUUUCUUUAACGAAAUAGCUGACAGAAUUGCAGCACACAUUAUAAAAUCUUGAUUCUCUUUUUGUGUUGUUGCGUCAGUCUUCUCGUACAAUACGAAAACGUAGGGCGUUCAAAUAUCAUCGUACGAAUUGCAUAAGACAAAAAUAUUCGAUUUGAAUGAUUACAACUGUUGUUCUCUCAUGAUCAUAGUAAUUAUAAAUUAACGUAUAUAUAAUUAAUAAUUUUGAAUCCAUGUACUUGUAUGAUCAUUAUUUGGUAAAAUACAACUAGAAUCAUAAAUAAAUAAAUAUUUAUUUAUCA